AGUGAACGCUGGCGGUAGGCCUAGCACAUGCAAGUCGAACGGCAGCACAGUAAGAGCUUGCUCUUACGGGUGGCGAGUGGCGGACGGGUGAGGAAUACAUCGGAAUCUACUUUUUCGUGGGGGAUAACGUAGGGAAACUUACGCUAAUACCGCAUACGACCUACGGGUGAAAGCAGGGGAUCUUCGGACCUUGCGCGAUUGAAUGAGCCGAUGUCGGAUUAGCUAGUUGGCGGGGUAAAGGCCCACCAAGGCGACGAUCCGUAGCUGGUCUGAGAGGAUGAUCAGCCACACUGGAACUGAGACACGGUCCAGACUCCUACGGGAGGCAGCAGUGGGGAAUAUUGGACAAUGGGCGCAAGCCUGAUCCAGCCAUACCGCGUGGGUGAAGAAGGCCUUCGGGUUGUAAAGCCCUUUUGUUGGGAAAGAAAAGCAGCAGGUUAAUACCCCGCUGUUCUGACGGUACCCAAAAAAUAAGCACCGGCUAACUUCGUG
rnacentral:rRNA from 1 species